GACGAACGCUGGCGGCGUGCUUAACACAUGCAAGUCGAACGGAAAGGCCCUGCUUUUGUGGGGUGCUCGAGUGGCGAACGGGUGAGUAACACGUGAGUAACCUGCCCUUGACUUUGGGAUAACUUCAGGAAACUGGGGCUAAUACCGGAUAGGAGCUCCUGCUGCAUGGUGGGGGUUGGAAAGUUUCGGCGGUUGGGGAUGGACUCGCGGCUUAUCAGCUUGUUGGUGGGGUAGUGGCUUACCAAGGCUUUGGCGGGUAGCCGGCCUGAGAGGGUGACCAGCCACAUUGGGACUGAGAUACGGCCCAGACUCCUACGGGAGGCAGCAGUGGGGAAUAUUGCACAAUGGGCGGAAGCCUGAUGCAGCAACGCCGCGUGCGGGAUGACGGCCUUCGGGUUGUAAACCGCUUUCGCCUGUGACGAAGCGUGAGUGACGGUAAUGGGUAAAGAAGCACCGGCUAACUACGUG
rnacentral:rRNA from 1 species